rnacentral:tRNA from 1 species
GUCUCAGAUAGCCGAACUGGUAAAAUCUUGGGCGCGCAACUAGAUGAGCCGGGUUCGAGCCCCGGUCUAGACU